rnacentral:lncRNA from 1 species
GCUUCGCGGCCCCACCCCGCCCAGGUCUACCCCUCAGGGACCCAGGGCUUGAAGGCUCCGGGACUAAAGGAAAGUAGCCACAUCUGGCGAGCCGAAGGGUGCGGGGGGCCUGGUGUCAGGACCCAGCUGGAAGGGCUGGGGCGAGAGACAGUGAGCCACCGCCCCGCAGGACAUUGAAAAGGCAGGGAGAACCCAAUCGCCCGACCCCGCGCCCAGGUCUGUGCGCCCCAGCCGGAACGGGUCCAGCAGAUGGCGCCGGGCGCCAGGCCGGCGAGGGAUAUUCGCGAUGUAGAAGGCGUUCCAGGAUUUCCAGGCAGCCGUGGGUGCAGCUGGAUCCGGGGGAAAAACCGGGCCUGGAGCACCCUUGCCCUCCUGCUCCUUCCCCCUUCUUAGUUCGGAUUGGGGUCUAGGAUUGCGGGGGGGCGGCGCGGGGCGGGGAAAGGGAGGGAAGACGGGAACUGGAGUUUUGGGAAUCUGAGGAUUGGCUUUCGAAGGCAUCGCUGGUUUUUGGGGGGGAUGAGAGGCGGGGACUCCCUGGGGAAGGUGACCGGGCCUGGGAGGGGCUUCGCUCUCCAUAGGAACAAAGGCUGCGUCGUGAGAGAGGAGGCGAGAGGGGAGGGCUAUGAGGGCCGGGGUACAUCUCCGAGGGUGCCAGGGGGCGCUGCGGGCCGGGGCUGCUAGAAGGCGCCUGGAAGACCGCUGUACCUGGUGCCGGGAGGAGCUUUGGGGAGACCUGGGAAAUACAGGGAGGAAGCCGAGUGGGGGGAUGGGAAGGCGCCCUCCCUGUUUCCAUCAAUAGUGCCUAAUUAAGACAAAGCCAGCAGCGAGCCCACUGAUUACAUUUCCAUGAGGAGCGAAAUUUAUGACAUUUUCUUUGCUGGAUGAGGAGAAGAGAAGCUGGCACCUCAGUUCCCCCAUUUUCUGUUUGGCGUUCACACCUAACAGAUCUCAUUAUGCCAGCCUGGCACUACCAGGAGUGGCAGUCCCUGGUACUCCUGAAGAGCAAGUGGAUUAACCACACCCUAUCCCAGCGCUGACCUCACCCUCCCACCUACCGUAUCUUUAUUCCCAGAAGUGUCAACCCUUUCCCUCCCCCCGACCCCCAAUAAUUCCUCCUGCCCAGCCAGACUCCUGUUGCUGACAGCAGGAAUGGAAGGAGAGGAGUACCGCCCACCCCAAAACCAGCUGCACAGCUAGCACAGCUAAGAUGGAACGUGGAGGUGUUCCUCUAGCCAGAUAGGCCAUGGGUGGCAGACAGAGGUGAUGUGGUUGGCCAGAACCCCUAGGGAAAAGUCCCAAAGGAGUGAAAAUUUGCUGGAGGCGUGGGGUGGGGAGCCUCAGGGGCAAGGUUCAUGGGUCCCUCGGGGAAAGGAACUUUGCACAGACCCCAUUUCUUUUCUUAAACCCCCCUCCCCAACUGUGGCUGUGCCUACGGAUCCCAGCCCCCCACAUUAUGCUAAAUAGGUAAUCAAACAUCUCGCUUUGCUAAUUACUGCUCAAUCCGAUUAAACGCUGCUGAAGCUCAUCAACAGAGGUGGAGGUAGGGGGAAGGGACGAAGGCGGGGCAACCACAGCUAGCUAUGAUGGGGGUCUUUUCCCCAGGGGCUCUUCGGGGCUAGAGAAACAGCCAGGGUUGCAAGACCGUGUACAUCCCAAAGGAAAGGGCAGAAGAGUUGUGACCUCGAGCCUCAGCCUUGCUGCACCUCCCAGCCACGGCCCUUUUCCUCCUCCCAGAACCUUCAUUACCCUCCGAACCCAGGCAUCCGGCCAUUCCCACAGCUCCCCACACACAUCCCUGUCCCAGAUUUAAUAAGUUCUGUUCCCUCAUUGUCAAUAUUUGAUUUCUCAGAGCCAUCUCCACGGAGAGGGGGGUGGGGGAUCUUUCCUUGCCUCCCCCCUACUUUGGCCCUCUUUUGCCCACCCCCAGUCUCUUUGAGAAGGUGGAAAGAGAGGUCCAUUCCAGGGGUCAGGGUCUCGGCCUGCUGUCCGGAUCAUUCAUCAGAGACAGAGGCCAGGGGAGACAGGGCCUCUAUGCCAGCAGCCUCCCUGCCGGCUGUGCCCUGGGCUGGUCCCGUGAGAACCAGAGUAGAUUACUCUACAGCCUGACUCAUCCUUCUCCCCCAGCAGCCCCCCACAGGUGAUUUGUAGCUGAUGCCCCCACGAUGGUAGGGGCCAGGAUAGUCAUUCCAUGACAUGAAGAACUGAGAGCUUCCAGGACAGAAGAGAACAGAGGCCAAGGGAAAGGAAGCCAAGCACCCCCCUUCACCUCCCCCCACCCAUCCCCAUCUCCCCUGGGGACCCUGGCCCAGCCCCAGUCCCCUUGGGGUGGUGGGAAUGCAAGGACAUUUGGCUGGGGCUGAUUGAUGAGGGAGGAGGCAGCCACCGGGCACUGAGGCUGCUGUUUGCUGAGCACACAGAUUCCUCCCAACUCACCAGCUGCUACCCCCUGAAGCAGCUCAGUCUCCCCCCGACAUCACCCCGCCAGCCACUGGGGUUGCGGUGCCUGAGUUUCUGAUGGCAACUGGAGGAAGAGGGAGAACCAGAAAACUGAACACUUCGAUUCCCUGUGGGAAUUGGGGUACCUGGGGCCUGGUCCCCUCAGAACUCCCUUCAGAACUCCACUUUCCCUGCUACCUUUCAAGUAGCUCUCUGGCUGCCCAGUUGUCAUUCCCAUUCAUUCUGUGUCCCUUUUCCUUCCCCCACCCAACUCUGAGCCUAUGCCAGACAGCCUCCUGCCUCCAAACCACCGUGUGACAUUUCUCCCAGGUCUCAAAACUCUCCCAAGCCCCAUGUCCACGGUGGCCCAUAUAGCCCCUUAGGAAGGGCCAUUUUUCAUUCUAAUUAAAAUUCCAGAUAUGAUGUCAACCAUUCCGCAUCAGAAAUUCCCACUGCAAGGCCAGGCACAGUGGCUCACAUCUGUAAUUCCAGCACUUUGGGAAGCUGAGGUGGGUGGAUCACCUGAGGUCGGGAGUUCAAGACCAGCCUGGCCAAUGUGGUGAAACCCCAUCUCUACUAAAAAUACAAAAAAUUAGCCGGGCGUGGUGGCACAUGCCUGUAGUCCCAGCUACUCGGGAGGCUGAGGCACGAGAAUUGCACCACUGCACUCCAG